GAUAGGAGAAGAAAGCAUAACAGUAUCUAAUACCUACCGACCAAAACUUAUAUAAUCAUGAAACAAUAUGCAGGAAUCAACUACAUAAAUUAUUCCACAAUGGCUUCAAGAAAGCACACAAAUCUCAGGAUGAUACCCUCCAUUCACGGACAGCACAUCAAAUCACAAUCUCUUCCUCACAAAGAAGCAAGCAAAAGUGACCUUCCAGUAUAUGCAAGGCUUUUAAACUAACCCAGCAAGCCAGGCCCGGUGGUGGCUCCACUUCAAACAGUAAGAACCACCGCAAAAGCCAGCUGGCCAGUGCCUCGACCAUCAGGCCCGACCCCAGGAUUCCAGGUUAAGGUGAUGGAAUUCUAGCCUCUGAAACCGGCUAACCAAAGGGGUUGGGAGUGCAUUUCGGCAAAGAAAAGGACUCAUUUAACUGGAGAAACCCGGAUUAUGAAAGAGAAAGAAGCAGCAGCAGACAUGGCAGGGUUAUAACGACAUGGACACAACCUCCGUCCCUGGGAAAGCGAGAGAGGGGCGCAGCAGGGAAGCUGCUGACAAGCAGGAGUACACCGGUCACUCCCACCCUGGCCAUCCAAGCCCGGAUCGCCGAGAAGAUACCACGCAAACCCGGGUUCUCACUUUCCUGGAGACAACGCCAUCUCCUCCUUGCCCCCUGCCCAGGGGCGGGGCAAGAGUGGCAGAAUAAAGGCAGGACCCCUUCAGUCUUUAA